CGGGGUGUAGCUCAGAUGGCUAGAGUGCACGGUUUGGGACCGUGAGGUCGUGAGUUCGAGUCUCACCACCCCGA
rnacentral:tRNA from 1 species